AUCCCAUGGUGAGGAAAUUUCCUUAACAACUCUUUGAAUCUUCCCAUGCAUAAAACAAAGAUCCAUUAUCUCCUUGUCUAAAUGAAGUAAUCUCAUUCCUCAUCUU